AAGUCGUAACAAGGUUUCCGUAGGUGAACCUGCGGAAGGAUCAUUAAUGGGUUUACCGCCUCCGGGCGAAACUCCACCCUUUGUAACCGCGGCCCGGAUUCGGCGCCUGGCGGGGGACCACCCCCCGCCUCGCGGGGGCCCCGGGCCCUGCCCGGCAAUUAAUGCCAACCCCACCUGCCCUUUGAAAAUUUGAAGUCUGAGAACAAGUUAAACUAAACAAAA
rnacentral:misc_RNA from 1 species